UUGUGCUUUUGGAAUGGUGGUUGAGGUGUUUAUUUGUUUCUGUUUUAGUUGAUUGCUUUCUUUGGGGGUGCUUAGCCUAUGAUAGAAUGGGCUUUUUGGUGUCAACAUAGUUGGGAUGAUCUAGCCUAUUGUGAUGCUUUUUGCACCCUCCCCUCUUUAUUAAUGUUUAGAUAUUUUUGUGUGUACAUCUUGUACCUUUCAUCGUUAUCAAUAAAGUUUUAUUUAUUUUGCCGAUCAAAAAAAAUAAAAUACAAUAAAAAAAACAAUAUCAAAACAGGAAGUGCUUUUUUUAUUUGCAAGUGGUGAAGCUGGGAUAAGAAGUAUGAUAACUUGACAGCUGUCAGUGUUCAAUAAAGUGAAGGACCUUGCGUAUUGUAGCAUGAUCAUAUUUACACCAUUAUUAUUCCUUCACCAUGCUUGCUUCAACUAUAUUAGUGGUUGUUUGCCAGGUAUUGGAUACAGCUUAGACCUUACUGUUCUAUCAAUUUAUUGGUAUGCAAAUUCCUUUUUUCUUUCCCCCUCUUUUUACUUCAAAUUAUCAUUCACAUGUGUUAUUUCUUUCAUAUUAUUGCUUGUGCUAGCCCUGGGAUUUAGUGGCAAAGAAAAUUCUAGGGUAUCGCUUCUAUGUUUUUUCAAAUAUUCAACCACAAUUCUAAUUUGAACUUCAUCAAAUUUCUAGAUCCUUUUCAUGAGGUGAAGACCAAACGAGAAAAGAAAAAAGGGGGGUGUGGCUGUGAAAAAUGCUGAAAAUCUCUGAUUUGUAUUUUGGAUAGUUGACUUUCCCCUUUUAGAGCUUGGUCAUGUAUGACUAAUGCUUUCUACCGUUCCGGUCCUACCGGAUCUGAUGAAAUUGUGGCCUUUUUGUUUUUUGAUUUCUCUGCUGUUUUCCCUAAUGUCAUAACAUGAGAUUAGGAUGACCACGUGUUUUACUAUGCACAAGGGACUUGGAUAUUUUUUCCUGCUUCUGGUGGAAUAGGAAUAAGGAUAUAACAGAAUCCAGGUCACAUGGCUUUAGUAACUCUUCAAGUCGUGGGAGUUAGGGGUGGCACUGAUCAUUAUGUUGGAUGAGGUGGCUCAACCCAAUUCAGCACUUCUGAGUCUGGAGUUUUACUUGGUAAACCUUCAUACAAGAAGGAAAAUGGAACAAAUAAUUACACAAGUGCUUCAUCUUUAGCAUCUGAAAUGGCAGGAAAUAAUAUGAAUCGGUGACCCCCAGCCCACAGGUACUUCUUUGAGACAGGUUGUGGAGGUUUAUGAUUCUGAUAUACAAAUGUGCACUGGAUAAGUUGCGGAUAUCUAACCAAUUUGUACUCUUCUUUGUGUUGGAAGCUUGGAGUAAAUCUGAACCUUUUAGCAUUAGCUUUUCUUUGGGCUGUUGGUUGCAAAGCAAGAAAUAGACUUCAAGAUAGAUAAUGGCAAAUGGGUCCUUAGUCUUAUUGUAACAUGAUCAUUCAGAAUUUAGCUAUUGUUCAAAGUUGUGAUUUUAAAGAUAGUCCUGCAAAUAAUCUAAUCUACCUCCUUUACUUUUUUGGUGUUGCAGCUUAAAACUUUUACUUGAAGCUAUACUUAAUUAUUGGCAUCGAUGAGGCUUCCCAUAAUGUCAAUGGGGUGCUGAUUGUUAAAGGGUAAUUUACUUUCAGAAGUAAAUUGUUGGUAGCAUAGGAAAACACGUACUACAAUCAACGGGUAUGUGGGUAAUAUUGGAAAAUGCGGAAUACAGACAAGGAACCAAAGAGAUUUAUGGAAGUAAAUCUGUCCUUGCUCUAUUUGGUCUUAGUUUCUAUUUGACUUACGUAAGUUUUUACAAUGU